CUGUACUUUUCUUAGGGUACUCAUGUUGCCC
rnacentral:piRNA from 1 species